rnacentral:misc_RNA from 1 species
AACGCACAUUGCGCCCCUUGGUAUUCCGAGGGGCAUGCCCGUUCGAGCGUCAUUGCAACCUCAAGCACAGCUUGGUGUUGGGCCCCGCUGGUAUACUAGCUAGCCCUAAAACCAGUGGCGGUGCCUUCAGGCUCUAAGCGUUAGUAAUCUUCCUCGCUAUAGAGUCCUGUGGGAUACUAGCCAUCAACCCGAAAUUUUCUAUGGUUGACCUCGGAUCGGGUAGGGAUACCCGCUGAACUUAA